GGUCUCAGUUUCUUCCCACAUCCAAAGAUAGAAAGAUGUAAGGUCUAGUUAGUCUUGUUCUUAAUCUUCAAAUAGAACAAUGAUAUAUAUAAAUAUAUGUCUAUGCAUCGGUUGUGGAGGACUAGCUACGGUUUCGAGCCUGGUCACAUGCGUAGAGUGUGAAAGAUUUGAAACCCUAAACUUUGAUACGUUUGAGAGGAGUUUGUUCUAAGUAUGAUAUUUGGUUGAAGUGUUUAUACAAAUGAAUCUUUUACCCGAUUUCUUUUCCAAAAUCACAAAUACAAUUUUUUUAUUUGAGGAGCAAAGGAAGCCGACAUUGACGACGGUUGAAAUUAGGUUUAGACGGAAAAAAAAAACGCUUCUUCUAGAUCUUUGUAUGUACGAGUUCAUGCAGAUGUGACCGCUUACGGAAGUUUGUAGAUGGAGACAACAUUUGUGGAUGACGGAAGUUCAAAUAUAUAAGAAAGACGGAUUUUGCAUAUAUAAACGUGAUGGACAUGUAUUAUGUUGUAAAAGAGAUGGAUGCUAAAAUCUGUUCAUAUACGUUUAUGUUAAUUAUUUAUAAUAUUAUAAAAUAUUUACUUCAA